UACGGAGGGUGCAAGCGUUAUCCGGAUUCACUGGGUUUAAAGGGUGCGUAGGAGGGCAGGUAAGUCAGUGGUGAAAUCUCCAAGCUUAACUUGGAAACUGCCGUUGAUACUAUCUGUCUUGAAUAUUGUGGAGGUGAGCGGAAUAUGUCAUGUAGCGGUGAAAUGCUUAGAUAUGACAUAGAACACCAAUUGCGAAGGCAGCUCACUACACAAUCAUUGACUCUGAGGCACGAAGGCGUGGGGAUCAAACAGG
rnacentral:rRNA from 1 species